rnacentral:rRNA from 1 species
GUGUCAGCAGCCGCGGUAAGACGAACCGUGCGAACGUUAUUCGGAAUCAUUGGGCUUAAAGGGCGCGUAGGCGGCGGUGUAAGUUGGAAGUGAAAUCCCAUCGGCUCAACCGUGGAAUUGCUCCCAGUACUGCAUCGCUCGAGGGGGAUAGGGGUUUGCGGAACUACCGGUGGAGCGGUGAAAUGUGUUGAUAUCGGUGGGAACGCCAGUGGCGAAAGCGGCAAACUUGACCCUUCCUGACGCUGAGGCGCGAAAGCUAGGGGAGCAAACGGGAUUAGAUACCCCCGUAGUCC